rnacentral:piRNA from 1 species
ACAAAUGUUAUGUGUGAGGAUGUACUGAU